CCUGAACUAUAGCCACUUCCUGUGCACCAAGACCAUGUAAUUGCUGGUAGCGGAAACUGCGGAAUGAAAACUGAGAAGAAAGGGUCUACUGCAUUAUCACGAGCACCAUUUUUUUUUCUUCUGGUGCUGGCAAUCAAAUCCUGGGCUUGGCACAUACAAUAGGCAUUUGGUCAUGCAGGAUAUUUGUUCCUUUAUUUAUCUGUUGUUGCAAAAAUGCCUACAUACCGAAGAGGGCCUGAUGACUCUGAAUACUUAAAAAGUUUCUAGGGUGACAGUCACACGCAGUGUACAGAAAGGCACAGAGUGAUUUUGUUUCAAGACUCUCAGUACAACGACUAGAAGAUGAACUUAUGUAGAUGAACAUCCUCACUCUCUUUGACUGGAGCCACGGAUGCAAAUAGGACAUGGAAAUGUUAUC